rnacentral:rRNA from 1 species
AAACAUAUUUGAUCCCUUCGGGGUGAAAAUAUGUGGAUCGAGCGGCGGACGGGUGAGUAACACGUGGGCAACCUGCCUGUAAGUCUGGGAUAACCCCGGGAAACCGGAGCUAAUACCAGAUAAUCAAGAACACCACAUGGUGUUGUUGUGAAAGAUGGUUCUGCCAUCCCUUACAGAUGGGCCCGCGGCGCAUUAGCUAGUUGGUAGGGUAAUGGCCUACCAAGGCGACGAUGCGUAGCCGACCUGAGAGGGUGAUCGGCCACACUGGGACUGAGACACGGCCCAGACUCCUACGGGAGGCAGCAGUAGGGAAUCUUCGGCAAUGGACGAAAGUCUGACCGAGCAACGCCGCGUGAGCGAUGAAGGUCUUCGGAUCGUAAAGCUCUGUUGUCAGAGAAGAACACGUGAUAGAGGAAAUGCUAUCACCUUGACGGUAUCUGACCAGAAAGCCCCGGCUAACUACGUGCCAGCAGCCGCGGUAAUACGUAGGGGGCGAGCGUUGUCCGGAAUUAUUGGGCGUAAAGCGCGCGCAGGCGGCUUCUUAAGUCUGAUGUG